rnacentral:rRNA from 1 species
GUAAGGAAUAUUGGACAAUGGGGGAAACCCUGAUCCAGCCAUGCCGCGUGAGUGAAGAAGGCCUUCGGGUUGUAAAGCUCUUUCAGAUGUGAAGAUGAUGACGGUAACAUCAGAAGAAGCUCCGGCUAACUUCGUGCCAGCAGCCGCGGUAAUACGAAGGGAGCGAGCGUUGUUCGGAAUCACUGGGCGUAAAGAGUGCGUAGGCGGUUAUACAAGUCAGGAGUGAAAUCCCAGGGCUCAACCCUGGAAUUGCUUUUGAAACUGUAUAGCUAGAGUCCCGGAGGGGUUAAUGGACUUCCGAGUGUAGAGGUGAAAUUCGCAGCUAUUCGGAGGAACACCAGUGGCGAAGGCGAUUAACUGGACGGGCACUGACGCUGAGGCACGAAAGCGUGGGGAUCAAACAGGAUUAGAAACCCGGGUAGUCC